AACCUGUUCUACAAUCGAUACUCCACGAUAUACCUAACCAUUUCUUGCUACUCAGCCCGUAUACCUCCGUCGUAAGCUUACCGUAUGAACGCACAACAGUAAGCCCAAGGGUUUAAUACCAUAACGUCAGGUCAAGGUGCAGCUCAUGAAAUGGAAGCAAUGGGCUACAAUUUCUAAUUUAGAACAAACGAAACACUGCAUGAAACACAGUCAUGAAGGAGGAUUUAGCAGUAAAUAGGGAAUAGAGAGCCCUAUUAAACUCGGCCCUGGGACAUGUACAAACCGCCCGUCACCCUCUUCAACAG
rnacentral:rRNA from 1 species